rnacentral:rRNA from 1 species
GCAAGUCGAACGAGAAAGCAUCCUUCGGGGUGUGAGUACAGUGGCGCACGGGUGAGUAACACGUGGGUAAUCUGCCCUUCGGUGGGGAAUAACUCCGCGAAAGUGGAGCUAAUACCGCAUACGAUCUUCGGAUGAAAGGCUUUGGUCGCCGAAGGAGGAGCCCGCGGUCGAUUAGCUUGUUGGUGAGGUAACGGCUCACCAAGGCUUCGAUCGAUAGCCGGCCUGAGAGGGCACAC